rnacentral:lncRNA from 1 species
CCUUUUUAAUUAAUUAGAUAUUGAUAAUGUAAAUUUAAAUAAACAGUGCGAAAAUAGAUGCAGCCCGACAUCAGGGUGUCACAAGUCACGAGCAUCUACUAAGGUCUAAAAUACAACAGGAAUUUUAGAAAUACUAAAUACAAUCUAAUGAUAUCAAGAGGGAGUAAAGCAGUGAUGCGGACGUCGGGUAGCUACCUCGCUAAACUCCAAUGACUCUGCCUCUGCUCAACCAAUACCUGAUAUCCGGUGCAGAAAUAGCUGAAUCUGCACACAAGGUACAGGGAGUAAAGUGAGUACUCCAACUCAGUGAGUAAUAAUCAUAAAUAAAGACUGAGCGAUAAAAAAUCAAGAAAAGUGCAUCAACAUGCUGUAUAGAAGCAGUACAAAACCAGAAAGAAAGCAAUGAAGUUGUGAAAUCUCUUUAAGCAUCUUAGCUCAGUUUAAAACUUCUUUAGAAAUAUCUUUUUAAUAGUUAAGCAAUUAAAUACAAAGCAACUAAAAUAGAUAAGCACAGAAAAUCCGCCCCUCGGGCAUAAACACCAACAGAAACAGCCCCUCGGGCAACAACAUGGAACAUUACCAGCCCCUCGGACUAUAUCUCAUAUCACAAUGGGUACCCGUGCUCACUGGGGGUGUGCAGACUCCUGGAGGGGCCCCUUACAGCCCAAGUGCAAUAUCAAGCCAUCUCGUGGCAUCAUCUCUAGGCUCUCAGCCUCAUAUCAACAAGCCACCUCGUGGCGUACAUAUCUCAGGUCGUCGGUCUCAUAAUCAAAAUCACUGUAUCACCACUGCGGCGUGAAGCCUGACCCAAAAGUAUCCUCACAACACAGGCCCUUGGCCUUACUCAGUCAAAAAUCACAUAAGCCACUUGGGCAACAGUAAAACAUGAUGCUCAGCCCAAAAUAUUAUUUAGAAUAUCAUUUCAAGUGUUAAAGUAGAGUAAACAUGGUUGAGUUUUGAAAAACGUAGAAUAUAGCAUGAGUGACUACAAGUUUAAAGUCAAUACAGUGAGGAAAUAUCAAUAAAAUCCCCAAAGGGUUCAAAUAGUUGGCACGAGGCCUAAAUAUGGCAUUCAUCCAAAAAUAUGAUGAUAGCAAAUAGUUUUCAAUCAAAUACACAGUAAAAUAGUAUUCAAGAUAGACUAAGUCACAAUCCCCAACACUACACAACCCCACGCUCGUCAUCUAGCAUGUGCAUCAUCUCAAUAUAGAACAACUAUGUGCAAUGGGGGGUUUCAUACCCUCAGGACAACAUUUACAAUCAUUACUCUCCUCAAUCCGGUCCAAACUCUAGCCCGCGAUGCCUUGGCCUCACGAAUCGACCUCCGAAUGCUCCAAAUCUAUCCAUAAUCAGUACAUAACCAUUAAAAUAUGCUAAGGGAACAAAUCCACUUAAAAAUAUCCAAUUUACGUCAAUAAUCCCGAAAUUGCUCAAACCCGGCCCCGGGCCCAUGUCUCGGAUUCCAAUAAAUUUUACAUCAAUAGGUUCCUUAUCCUCUCACGAGACUAUACAUACAAAUAACCUCAAAAUCAGACCUUAGUUGCCCCUUUAAAUCCCCUUCAAACUAGACUCGAAGAUCUUUCAUUUGAUAGGUUGCACACCACAUAAAUCUUUAUAUAUUCCGAGAUAUGAGCUUCUAAAGUCGGCUCCAUGCAUCAGAAAAUUCUGUCGAAACUGCUCCCCAGCCAUCUUCAAUCGAUCAUAACUUUAUGAUAGAAUGUCCAAAUCAUGAAUGGUUUAUCUUUCAGGAAACUAGAAUGCAAGGCAAACAACUUUUAUGUUUUUCAUAUUUUCAGAUUCCUUAUAAAUUUUGAGAUAUAAGCUUCCAAAUCCAGCUCCAUGAUUGCACUAGUUGCUGUCAAAACAGUUUUCUGCAUAAAAUUUCAGGAACUCUUUGGUUCGAAAUUCAUUCCAUUAACCUUCCGAAAUCCACCCGAGGCCCUCGGGACCUUAACCAAUUAUACCAACAUGUCCCAAAAUAUGAUACGAACUCACUCGAGGCCUCAAAUCACAUCAAACAAUGUCAAAAUCAUGAAUCAUACUCCAAACCAAACUUUAUGAACUUUGAAAUUUCAAACUUUUACAUUCGAUGUCGAAACCCAUCAAAUCACGUCUGAUUAACCUCAAAUUUUGCACACAAGUCAUAUUCGACAUUACGGACCUGCUCCAACUUUCACAAUUGGAAUCUGACCCCGAUCUCAAAAAGUCAAACUCUCGGUCAAACUUCCCAAAAACCUUCAAAUUUCUAUCUUUAAGAAAAUGACUUCAAAAUAACCUACUGUCACACCUCCUUUUUACCUUACACCCCCGGAAAGGGUCUAAAGGAGUUUUUCCAAUUAAAGGACAAUCGAAACGGGAUUUAUUGUUAAAAGAUUCAGAGUCGCCACUUUGGAGAUUUAUGGUGUCCCAAGUCACCGGUUGAAUCCCGAAUCGAGGAAAGGGUUGACUCUGUUUAACAGUCCGCGAACCAGAAAUCCGAGUAAGGAAUUUUGUUAACCCGGGAGAAGGUGUUAGGCAUUCCUGAGUUCUGUGGUUCUAGCACGGUCGCUCAACUGUUAUAUUUGGCUUAAUAAUCUUAUUUUAGAACAUUUUGAACCUAUGUGCAAUUUUAACCUUUUAACCGCUUUUAAUUGACUUUUAAAGAAGAUUGAACGUCGUUUAAAACACGUCUUUGGAUCGCGCCACAUGAAAUGCACCCGCAAUCCUAAACAUAUUUCAUUCAACGUUUUAAGAUUUGAUUUAGGUCACAUGAAAUGCGCACCCGAGUUCAAGAAGGUAAAAUUAUUAAAUAAUGUGCCUAAAAGCAACUAACACGUUGUUAACUUUGCGAGGGCCAUGAAAAUUUGCUAAAUGGCACAUCUCGAUUUUCUAAAGGAUUAAAAUUAAUUAACCGAGGGCCAUGCAAUUGUCAUUUUGUUCGGCAUGGCGCGCCUCAAUUUAUUAAAGAAAAAGCAUUCAACUAAGUGAACUAUGGAUAUUCAUAUGUAACAGUCAACUAAGAAAGAAAACAAAAUACUCGGAUCUAAGUCUAGAGCUACUAAACGGAUACCUCUAUAGUAACUACAAUCCAAUUCCAUGGUUCAAAUUCUUUCUUUAGUCCAAUUAAAUCAACCAAGCAAAUUAUGUUAACAAACCCUAAACUAACAUUCACAUGUGACUGCUUAAAAGAGAAAAACAUAAACACAUGGGAGCAACUUUUGAUUAAUCAAGAGAGCAAACCAUUAAGAAGAAACUCAAACAAACAGUAAUAUCCUACAUUCAGUGAAAUUUUGCAACUGAGGGCAUGUAUCAAUAAGCAUGAAUAUAGUGAGAAUGAGAUGAAUGAACCUUUCUCAAGCUUACGAACAUAUCAAUAAGAACUAGUUGGCUUACAAAGGAGUUGGGAAAUUGCACCGACAGGAUUGAGCGCAAAUGACAUCAUCGGCCCACACCGGAAACCUUAUCAAACCCUGACCGGACUACCUUGCCACACCCAUUACCCAGAUUUGAGCGUCCGUUCCUCCCUCGAUAUCUCACUCUAUUUUCACGACACCUCGUUGCAUUCUCUCUUAUGGAAAACAGCGAAUGGUUGGUUCUUUGGAAAGAAGGGUUGACAUGGUGUUGGUUGGUCGUUUGUGACGUGAAGCUUCGCCGGAAAUGGCAGCUUCGCGGUGAACGGAGGUCCAGCGACGAUGGUGAGCUGGGUGAGGUCACUUGGUUCUAUUUGUCGCGUCUGGAACUUGUUAAUCCGAUGAGCUGGUGGAGCUCGUUUUUCCGGCGAGUUUUAGGCAGAGACGGGGUUAUUUGAGAAGCAGUUCUGGAAAAGGGGGGGUUUGUUGGAGAAGAUGGAGUCGGGGGGUGGGAUCGUUUUCGCGCAGCCUUUUUAGCUGUUGCUUUCAGCUUUUGUUUGUUCUCCCCAGCCUUCUUCGUUAUUCAUGCGCAACUUUUGCUGCUUUUUUCGUUCCUUUUCGGUCAAAUUUUUUGUUUUCUUUUUGUUUUCAGCAUUUCGUUUUCAUGCGCAGCCUUCGUUUCAGACCCCCC